GAGAGAGGCUCGCCAGCAACAAAGACUGCUAAUCUUUCGUCCCCUUGGUUGAACCCCAAGGCUCACUCG
rnacentral:tRNA from 1 species